rnacentral:rRNA from 1 species
UUGAACGCUGGCGGCGUGCCUAACACAUGCAAGUCGAGCGGUAACAGGUGUAGCAAUACAUGCUGACGAGCGGCGGACGGGUGAGUAACGCUUGGGAAUCUGCCUAUUAGUGGGGGACAACCCGGGGAAACUCGGGCUAAUACCGCAUACGCUCUACGGAGGAAAGCCGGGGACCGCAAGGCCUGGCGCUAAUAGAUGAGCCCAAGUCGGAUUAGCUAGUUGGUAGGGUAGUGGCCUACCAAGGCGACGACCCGUAACUGGUCUGAGAGGACGACCAGUCACACCGGAACUGAGACACGGUCCGGACUCCUACGGGAGGCAGCAGUGGGGAAUAUUGGACAAUGGGCGAAAGCCUGAUCCAGCGACGCCGCGUGGGUGAAGAAGGCCUGCGGGUUGUAAAGCCCUUUCAGUGGGGAAGAAAAGCCUCGACCUAACACGUCGGGGUCUUGACGUAACCCAUAGAAGAAGCACCGGCUAACUCUGUGCCAGCAGCCGCAGUAAC